rnacentral:rRNA from 1 species
GACGUCCUGCCGGUGGCGGUGCGGGCUCCGACACACGUGUAGGUCGCUUAGGCGACCGAAGCGAGUCGUGGGUAUUCCGGCCGCCGAAUCAAUCCCGUCGCGGUGCUCUUGACUGAGUGUCGAGGCGGGCCGGCAAUUUUACUUUGAACAAAUUAGAGUGCUUAAAGCAGGCAAGAAUUAUUACGCCUGAAUACUGUGCCGCAUGGAAUAAUGCAAUAGGACUUCGGUUCUAUUUUGUUGGUUUUAAGAAACCGAAGUAAUGAUUAAUAGGGACAGGCGGGGGCAUUCGUACUGCGACGUUAGAGGUGAAAUUCUUGGAUCGUCGCAAGACGUCCGUAGGCGAAAGCAUUUGCCAAGUAUGUCCUCGUUAAUCAAGAACGAAAGUUAGAGGUUCGAAGGCGAUCAGAUACCGCCCUAGUUCUAACCAUAAACGAUGCCAGCCAGCGAUCCGCCACAGUUCCUCCGAUGACUUGGCGGGCAGCUUCCGGGAAACCAGAGCUUUUGGGUUCCGGGGGAAGUAUGGUUGCAAAGCUGAAACUUAAAGGAAUUGACGGAAGGGCACCACCAGGAGUGGAGCCUGCGGCUUAAUUUGACUCAACACGGGAAACCUCACCAGGCCAGGACACUGGAAGGAUUGACAGAUUGAAAGCUCUUUCUUGAUUCGGUGGGUGGUGGUGCAUGGCCGUUCUUAGUUGGUGGAGCGAUUUGUCUGGUUAAUUCCGAUAACGAACGAGACUCUGGCCUGCUAAAUAGACGUUCUGGUAUCCACAACAAGUGCUACCAGUGAACAAAUAAAUCUUCUUAGAGGGACCGGCGGCUUCUAGCCGCACGAGAUUGAGCAAUAACAGGUCUGUGAUGCCCUUAGAUGUCCUGGGCCGCACGCGCGCUACACUGAAGGAGUCAGCGUGUGUCUUCCCUGGCCGAAAGGUCCGGGUAACCCGUUGAAACUCCUUCGUGCUAGGGACUGGGGCUUGCAAUUGUUCCCCACGAACGAGGAAUUCCCAGUAAGCGCAAGUCAUCAGCUUGCGCUGAUUAAGUCCCUGCCCUUUGUACACACCGCCCGUCGCUACUACCGAUUGAAUGAUUUAGUGAGGUCUUUGGACCGGCGCUCGGCGACCGCCUCCCCGGGCGGUCACCUG